rnacentral:lncRNA from 1 species
UAUGGAUCUGGAUAUUGGAAAAUAUGAAUAUUGGAUCUGGAAUUGAAUCUGAAACUUCGGGUUGUAAGGUAAUGAUGUAUUCACUAUGGCAUUACUUUACAACUUGGGGUUUCAGAUUUGGUUCCGGAUCCAAUAUUCAUAUUUUCUCAGAUGGAACCUUGGUUCAUUGAACUAAAUCCUUUAGCUGAUAUUCACCCUACUACAAACUGUUAUGAGACCCUGUGAUUUUGAUAUUAGUGUGCUCUGUCAAUUUGUGGAGAUAUCUUUGUGCUAUAGAGUGAUUAAGUUAAUUUUUGUUAAGCUGCCUUAUUUCAUAUGGGAUAUACUGUAUCUGGCAGCAGUCAUUUUUAGAACCCAUCACAAAUUGUCCAACACCCAUGAUAGAACUAAUUGGAAGGUUGAAGGAUGGAGUUCAAAAAUUGGGCCUGAAUCCCUACUGAAAAUUUAGUGUUGUGGGACCAGAUUUGAACAUGGAUUUUUCAAAGUAAUAAGCAAGUAAGUUACCAUGCACUCAUAGAAUCAACAAUAAACAGUAGUAGAAUGGAAGUAUAAAAUAAGAGAGCAGCAUAUUAUAACAAUAGCUUUUGAUAAUGUUCAGAAUGAAUUAUU